GACUCACAGUGACCAGCCACAGAAUCCAUAACUCGACAUCUGCUACUUUCAUCUCUGAGCAUCAAAAAAGUAAACCGCAACCAUGGGGGAUGGAGAAAUGGAGUGUUUCGGCCCGGCGGCCAUUUACCUCCGGAAAACAGAAAGAGAGAGAAUAGAGGCCCAGAACACUCCCUUUGAUGCCAAAACAGCGUACUUUGUGGUGGAUGCAGACGAGAUGUACCUGAAGGGUACUCUUCAGAGUAAAGAGGGUGGCAAAGCUACUGUCAAAACUCACAGUGGGAAAACCGUCACGGUAAAAGAAGAUGAAAUCUUCCCCAUGAAUCCUCCCAAGUUUGACAAAAUUGAGGACAUGGCCAUGAUGACCCACCUCAAUGAGCCUUGUGUGCUGUAUAACCUCAAAGAGCGUUACGCAGCAUGGAUGAUCUAUACCUACUCUGGCUUGUUCUGCGUCACUGUCAAUCCAUACAAAUGGCUCCCAGUGUACGACGCAGUUGUUGUGGCUGGAUACAGAGGCAAGAAGAGGAUUGAAGCCCCACCUCACAUCUUCUCCAUCUCUGACAAUGCCUACCAGUUCAUGCUUACUGAUCGUGAAAACCAGUCUGUCCUGAUCACUGGAGAAUCUGGUGCAGGAAAGACUGUGAACACGAAACGUGUCAUUCAGUACUUUGCAACUGUUGGUGCCAUGUCUGGAGCAAAGAAACAAGAGCCUGUUGCUGGAAAAAUGCAGGGGUCACUGGAGGACCAGAUCAUUGCUGCAAACCCUCUGCUGGAGGCUUAUGGUAAUGCCAAGACUGUGAGGAACGACAACUCCUCUCGUUUUGGCAAAUUCAUCAGGAUUCAUUUUGGGACCACUGGAAAACUGGCCUCAGCUGACAUUGAAACAUACCUGCUGGAAAAGUCAAGAGUAACAUUCCAGCUGUCUGCUGAGAGGAGUUACCACAUCUUCUACCAGCUCAUGACUGGACACAAGCCAGAGCUGCUGGAGGCCCUGCUCAUCACCACCAACCCUUAUGACUAUCCAAUGAUCAGCCAGGGUGAAAUCACUGUCAAGAGCAUCAAUGAUGUGGAGGAGUUCAUUGCCACAGAUACUGCCAUUGACAUUCUGGGCUUCACUGCUGAUGAGAAAAUCGCCAUCUACAAGCUGACCGGUGCUGUGAUGCAUCAUGGGAGCAUGAAGUUCAAACAGAAGCAGAGAGAGGAGCAGGCUGAACCUGAUGGCACUGAGGUGGCUGAUAAAAUCGCCUACCUCAUGGGCCUCAACUCUGCUGACAUGCUGAAAGCUCUGUGUUACCCCAGAGUGAAGGUCGGAAACGAGAUGGUGACCAAAGGCCAGACAGUUCCGCAGGUGAACAACGCAGUGUCAGCUCUCUGCAAGUCUGUCUAUGAGAAAAUGUUCUUGUGGAUGGUCAUCCGUAUCAAUGAGAUGUUGGACACAAAGCAGCCCAGACAGUUCUUCAUUGGUGUGCUGGACAUUGCUGGAUUUGAGAUCUUUGAUUUCAACAGCUUGGAGCAGCUUUGCAUCAACUUCACAAAUGAGAAACUGCAACAGUUCUUCAACCACCACAUGUUUGUUCUGGAGCAAGAGGAGUACAAGAAAGAAGGCAUCGAAUGGGAGUUUAUUGACUUCGGUAUGGACUUAGCUGCCUGCAUUGAGCUCAUUGAGAAGCCAAUGGGCAUCUUCUCCAUCCUUGAAGAGGAGUGCAUGUUCCCCAAGGCCACAGACACAAGCUUUAAAAACAAACUACAUGACCAGCAUCUGGGCAAAACUGCAGCCUUCCAGAAGCCCAAGCCUGCCAAAGGUAAGGCAGAGGCUCACUUCUCUCUAGUGCACUACGCCGGCACUGUGGACUACAACAUUGUUGGCUGGCUGGAUAAGAACAAGGAUCCACUGAACGACUCUGUUGUGCAACUCUACCAAAAGUCUUCACUCAAAGUCUGGCCUUCCUGUAUGCCUCUCAUGGAGGUGAAGCUGAGGGUGGCGGCGGCAAGAAAGGAGGCAAGAAGAAGGGUGGUUCCUUCCAGACUGUGUCUGCACUGUUUAGGGAGAACUUGGGUAAGCUGAUGACUAACCUGAGGAGCACUCACCCUCACUUUGUGCGCUGCUUGAUUCCUAAUGAGUCCAAGACUCCAGGUCUGAUGGAGAACUUCCUGGUUAUCCACCAGCUCAGGUGUAACGGUGUGCUGGAGGGUAUCAGAAUCUGCAGGAAGGGUUUCCCCAGCAGAAUCCUCUACGGUGACUUCAAGCAGCGGUACAAAGUAUUGAAUGCUAGUGUCAUUCCUGAGGGACAGUUCAUCGACAACAAAAAGGCUUCAGAGAAACUCUUGGGCUCUAUUGAUGUUGAUCACACCCAAUACAAGUUUGGACACACCAAGGUGUUCUUCAAAGCUGGUCUGCUGGGUACUCUUGAGGAGAUGAGAGACGAAAAACUUGCAACGUUGGUUACCAUGACUCAAGCUUUGUGCCGUGGAUAUGUCAUGAGAAAAGUGUUUGUUAAAAUGAUGGAAAGGAGAGAAGCAAUUUAUUCCAUCCAAUACAACAUCCGCUCAUUCAUGAAUGUCAAACAUUGGCCAUGGAUGAAGCUCUACUUCAAGAUCAAGCCUCUUCUGAAGAGUGCAGAGACUGAGAAAGAAAUGGCAGCCAUGAAGGAGAACUUUGAGAAAAUGAAAGAAGAUCUAACGAAGGCAUUGGCUAAAAAGAAGGAGCUGGAGGAGAAAAUGGUGUCACUUCUUCAGGAGAAAAAUGACCUUCAACUACAAGUAGCAUCUGUGAGUAUUGCCCGUAUUGAGGAGCUGGAGGAGGAAAUCGAGGCUGAACGAGCUGCUCGUGCUAAAGUGGAGAAGCAGAGAGCCGAUCUCUCCAGGGAACUUGAAGAGAUCAGUGAGAGGCUUGAGGAAGCUGGAGGUGCCACUGCUGCCCAGAUUGAGAUGAACAAGAAGCGUGAAGCAGAAUUCCAGAAGCUGCGUCGUGAUCUGGAAGAGUCCACCUUGCAGCAUGAAGCUACGGCUGCAGCUCUCCGAAAGAAGCAGGCAGACAGUGUGGCUGAGCUCGGAGAACAGAUCGACAACCUCCAGCGGGUCAAGCAGAAGCUGGAGAAGGAAAAGAGUGAAUACAAGAUGGAGAUUGAUGACUUGUCAAGCAACAUGGAGGCUGUGGCUAAAGCAAAGGCUAAUUUAGAGAAGAUGUGCCGCACUCUUGAAGAUCAGCUGAGUGAAAUCAAGACCAAAAGUGAUGAAAAUAUUCGCCAGUUGAAUGACAUGAAUGCACAACGGGCAAGACUUCAGACUGAAAAUGGUGAAUUUAGCCGACAACUGGAAGAGAAAGAAGCACUUGUUUCACAGUUAACUAGAGGAAAACAGGCCUAUACACAGCAAAUUGAGGAGCUCAAGAGACAUGUUGAGGAAGAAGUCAAAGCCAAGAAUGCUUUGGCCCAUGCAGUUCAGUCUGCCCGCCAUGACUGUGAUCUGCUCAGAGAGCAGUUUGAGGAAGAGCAAGAGGCCAAAGCUGAACUCCAGCGUGGAAUGUCUAAGGCCAACAGUGAGGUGGCACAAUGGAGAACCAAAUAUGAGACUGACGCCAUCCAGCGUACAGAGGAGCUUGAGGAAUCCAAGAAAAAGCUGGCUCAGCGUCUGCAGGAUGCUGAAGAAUCCAUUGAGGCAGUGAACUCCAAGUGUGCAUCGCUGGAGAAAACAAAACAGAGACUGCAGGGUGAAGUAGAGGACCUCAUGAUUGAUGUGGAGAGAGCAAAUGCAUUGGCUGCUAACCUUGACAAGAAGCAGAGAAACUUUGACAAGGUCCUCGCAGAGUGGAAGCAGAAGUAUGAGGAAGGCCAGGCUGAACUAGAAGGGGCUCAGAAAGAAGCUCGCUCUCUCAGCACUGAGAUUUUCAAAAUGAAGAACUCUUAUGAAGAAGCCCUGGACCAGCUUGAGACCCUGAAGAGGGAGAACAAGAAUCUGCAACAGGAGAUUUCUGACCUCACUGAGCAGCUUGGAGAGACUGGAAAGAGCAUUCAUGAGUUAGAGAAAGCCAAGAAGACUGUGGAGUCUGAGAAAGUAGAGAUCCAGACUGCACUUGAAGAAGCCGAGGGCACCCUAGAGCAUGAGGAGUCCAAGAUUCUGCGUGUGCAGCUGGAGCUGAACCAGGUGAAGAGUGAGAUUGACAGGAAGCUUGCUGAGAAGGAUGAAGAGAUAGAACAGAUCAAGAGGAACAGCCAAAGAGUGAUGGAUUCCAUGCAGAGCACUCUGGACUCUGAGAUCAGGAGCAGAAAUGAUGCCCUGAGAGUCAAAAAGAAGAUGGAGGGAGAUCUGAAUGAGAUGGAGAUCCAGCUGAGUCAUGCCAAUCGCCAGGCUGCUGAGGCCCAGAAACAGCUCAGGAAUGUCCAAGGCCAACUCAAGGAUGCCCAACUGCACCUUGAUGAAGCCAUCAGAGGACAAGAAGACAUGAAGGAGCAGGUGGCCAUGGUGGAGCGCAGGAAUAACCUGAUGCAAGCAGAGAUUGAGGAGCUGAGAGCCGCACUGGAGCAAACAGAGAGAGGCCGCAAAGUGGCAGAGCAGGAGCUGGUGGAUGCCAGUGAGCGUGUGGGACUGCUGCACUCACAAAAUACAAGUCUUAUUAAUACCAAGAAGAAGCUUGAGGCUGAUCUGGUCCAAAUUCAAGGUGAGGUGGAAGAUUCAGUUCAGGAGGCCAGAAACGCAGAGGAGAAGGCCAAGAAGGCCAUCACUGAUGCUGCCAUGAUGGCUGAGGAGCUGAAGAAGGAGCAGGACACCAGUGCUCACCUGGAGAGGAUGAAGAAGAACCUGGAGGUGACUGUCAAAGACCUGCAGCACCGUCUGGAUGAGGCAGAGAAUCUGGCCAUGAAGGGUGGAAAGAAACAGCUCCAGAAACUGGAGUCCAGGGUUCGUGAGUUGGAGAGUGAAGUUGAAGCUGAACAGAGACGCGGUGCAGAUGCUGUUAAAGGAGUGCGUAAAUAUGAAAGGAGGGUGAAGGAGCUCACCUACCAGACCGAGGAAGACAAGAAGAACGUGACUCGCCUCCAGAUCUGGUGGACAAGCUGCAGCUGAAAGUGAAGGCCUACAAGCGCCAGGCUGAAGAAGCUGAGGAGCAGGCCAACACUCACCUGUCCAGGUACAGGAAGGUGCAGCAUGAGAUGGAGGAGGCUCAGGAGCGCGCUGACAUCGCCGAGUCCCAGGUCAACAAGCUGAGAGCCAAGAGCCGCGAUGUAGGAAAGAGCAAGGAUGAAGAAUGAAGACAAGACAUCUUACCACAUCUACAAGAAAUAUAAUAUAAUAUUAUAUAAUGUACUGUGUGUGGUUGUGUAAUGUCUCACAUGUGCAUUAAAUGCUCUGUCAAAGCAC